UACGGAGGGUGCGAGCGUUAAUCGGAAUUACUGGGCGUAAAGCGUGCGCAGGCGGUUCGUCGUGUCCGAUGUGAAAGCCCCGGGCUCAACCUGGGAAUGGCAUUGGAAACUGGCGGACUCGAGUGUGGCAGAGGGGGGUGGAAUUCCGCGUGUAGCAGUGAAAUGCGUAGAGAUGUGGAGGAACACCGAUGGCGAAGGCAGCCCCCUGGGAUCAACACUGACGCUCAUGCACGAAAGCGUGGGGAGCAAACAGG
rnacentral:rRNA from 1 species